AGGAUGAACGCUAGCGGCAGGCUUAAUACAUGCAAGUCGUGGGGCAGCACAGGUAGCAAUACUGGGUGGCGACCGGCAAACGGGUGCGGAACACGUACGCAACCUUCCUUUAAGUGGGGGAUAGCCCAGGGAACUUGGAUUAAUACCCCGUACGAUUGAGGUGUGGCAUCACACUUUAAUGAAAGCUACGGCACUUGAAGAUGGGCGUGCGGCUGAUUAGGUAGUUGGCGGGGUAACGCCCACCAAGCCAACGAUCAGUAACUGGUGUGAGAGCACGACCAGUCACACGGGCACUGAGACACGGGCCCGACUCCUACGGGAGGCAGCAGUAAGGAAUAUUGGUCAAUGGACGCAAGUCUGAACCAGCCAUGCCGCGUGGAGGAUGAAGGCCCUCUGGGUUGUAAACUUCUUUUAUCUGGGAAGAAACCACUCUUUUCUAAGGGUGUUGACGGUACCAGUUGAAUAAGCACCGGCUAACUCCGCGCCAGCAGCCGAC
rnacentral:rRNA from 1 species